ensembl:snoRNA SNORA71 Small nucleolar RNA SNORA71
UCCUGCAUCGAAAGGUGGUCGUGGCGUGUUCAGUGGCCCGGCCAUUGGUUAACUGCAGGGACAUGAAACCGCGAGCCUUUCCCGUGUUUGAAGGAUGUUCCGUUCCUGUCAGACCCUGGUGCUCGCGAACA